GAAACCUGUCAGUAGGGAUGAAACGACACGCCCAAGGUCACACCGCUUACAAGCGAUGAAAAAGGAUCCCUGAGCUCAGGUCCGGUUCAGAGGCCGAGGCCGCCCUUGUUCUAGUUACUGUCCGGAGGGAGCAAAGGGGCGGAUUCUGGGGUGGACAUCAUGGAAGAAGGAAUCUAAUUGUUGGAUAGACUGCAAUGUGCUAGGCGAAGUCGGCGCCCUCGGGAUAUCCCGGUAAAAGGUGAAGCAACCAUCCGACACGAGCCUCGGGUACCUACGCCCGCUGGGCUCAAGAGUAGCUAACAAGCCGGAUGGGCGCGGCACCUCCCCGGCCGCCGGGAGACCCUGGCCCAGCGGAUGGUCCCCCUCUCCCCUGUUCCUUGCUGAACCCGCAGCCUGGCCAGGGUACUCUCCUUGCACCCGUGCUCCUCCCCAUCCCUGCGAGACCCGGUCUCUACGCCUCACCCUGGCUGUGCCGCAGCUGGCACCACGUCCCCUUCGAUAUCCACAUCCGCCUCUUCAGCCGCCAUGACGGGACCUAACCCCAUCCGUCCUCCCGAGAGAUCCCGCGAGAGGUGGAAGACUUGGGGGCGGAGUCUCAUGAGUCACGGGGCGGAGCUGAAACCUUGUCCAGCCCCUUACGCAAGCGGGAGGCGGGGCCUUCAGAGAAAAGAUCUGCAGUUUUCCGGAGGUUUGGUCCUUUGGAAUUCUGUUGGUUUGUAAAAGACCGUGGGAAGUUGCCCAGGCUUGGGUUUUGAAGAGAUAGUGCUCUUGGACAAGUUCUUGGCUCUUCACUUCUCUUAUUGAUAAAAUGGGGAUAUCUGCCUGGAGUGCUGAAAAGGUCAAAGCCAGACCUGCUUUGAACUGUGACAGUAAUGCUACAUCCAUCUGACAUUAUGCGGAAGGGAACGAAAAGAUGCCAACAUUAAUGAGCUCCUACUGUGUGCCAGGCAUUUUACAGACAUUAUUUCUUUAUAGCCCUCUGAGGUCACUUUUUACUCCAGUGAUUUCCAUGGCAACCAGCUUCACACAGGUGUAACCUGACGGCACCAUACAUCUACUUUCUGCAGCAGAAAGUGCACACAUGCACAAUCCAGAAAAGCAGGGGUGUUAAUACCCCAUGAGAUAGUGGAUGACCGAUGGGGAGCAAAUCCCUGUAGGAUGGAGCCCCUUUGUUCACAAAGCAAUAACUUACUCUUGAAUUGACUGUCCCUCCUUUACUGGCAUGCUCUUUUCAGUCCUCCUUCAUAAUCCUUGGGACU